rnacentral:rRNA from 1 species
UACGGAGGGUGCAAGCGUUAUCCGGAUUCACUGGGUUUAAAGGGUGCGUAGGCGGGCAGGUAAGUCAGUGGUGAAAUCUCCGGGCUUAACCCGGAACUGCCGUUGAUACUAUCUGUCUUGAAUAUCGUGGAGGUAAGGCGGAAUAUGUCAUGUAGCGGUGAAAUGCUUAGAUAUGACAUAGAACACCCAUUGCGAAGGCAGCUUACUACACGAUCAUUGACGCUGAGGCACGAAAGCGUGGGGAGCAAACAGG